GGCGGCGUGCUUAACACAUGCAAGUCGAACGGAGUUCCUUGGAUCAAGACUUCGGUCAAGUGAAUUGGAACUUAGUGGCGGACUGGUGAGUAACGCGUGAGGAACCUGCCUUUCAGAGGGGGACAACAGUUGGAAACGACUGCUAAUACCGCAUGAUGCAUUUGGGUCGCAUGGCCUGAAUGCCAAAGUAUUUUAUCGCUGAAAGAUGGCCUCGCGUCUGAUUAGCUAGUUGGUGAGGUAACGGCCCACCAAGGCGACGAUCAGUAGCCGGACUGAGAGGUUGACCGGCCACAUUGGGACUGAGAUACGGCCCAGACUCCUACGGGAGGCAGCAGGUGGGGAAUAUUGCACAAGUCGGGGGAAACCCUGAUGCAGCAACGCCGCGUGAGUGAAGAAGUAUUUCGGUAUGUAAAGCUCUAUCAGCGAGGGAAGAAAAAGACGGUACCUGACUAAGAAGCACCGGCUAAAUACGUG
rnacentral:rRNA from 1 species